AGAGUUUGAUCAUGGCUCAGGACGAACGCUGGCGGCACGCCUAACACAUGCAAGUCGAACGGAGAAAAUGAUUUCGGUUAUUUUCUUAGUGGCGGACGGGUGAGUAACACGUGAGGAACCUGCCUCUGAGAGUGGGAUAGCUUCUGGAAACGGAUGGUAAUACCGCAUAACAUAGCGAAACCGCAUGAUUUUGCUAUCAAAGUAUUUCGCUCAGAGAUGGCCUCGCGUCUGAUUAGAUAGUUGGUAAGGUAACGGCUCACCAAGUCGACGAUCAGUAGCCGGACUGAGAGGUUGAACGGCCACAUUGGGACUGAGACACGGCCCAGACUCCUACGGGAGGCAGCAGUGGGGGAUAUUGCACAAUGGGGGAAACCCUGAUGCAGCGAUGCCGCGUGGAGGAAGAAGGUUUUCGGAUUGUAAACCCCUGUCGUAAGGGAAGAGAAAGGACUGUACCUUACAAGAAAGCUCCGGCUAACUACGUGCCAGCAGCCGCGGUAAUACGUAGGGAGCGAGCGUUGUCCGGAAUGACUGGGUGUAAAGGGAGCGUAGGCGGGAUGGCAAGUCAGAUGUGAAACCUGAGGGCUCAACCUUCAGACUGCAUUUGAAACUGCUGUUCUUGAGUGAAGUAGAGGUAAGCGGAAUUCCUGGUGUAGCGGUGAAAUGCGUAGAGAUCAGGAGGAACAUCGGUGGCGAAGGCGGCUUACUGGGCUCUUACUGACGCUGAGGCUCGAAAGCGUGGGGAGCAAACAGGAUUAGAUACCCUGGUAGUCCACGCUGUAAACGAUGAUUACUAGGUGUGGGGGGAUUGACCCCUUCCGUGCCGCAGUUAACACAAUAAGUAAUCCACCUGGGGAGUACGACCGCAAGGUUGAAACUCAAGGGAAUUGACGGGGGCCCGCACAAGCGGAGGAACAUGUGGUUUAAUUCGAUGAUACGCGAGGAACCUUACCCGGGCUUGAAUUGCGGAGGAAGGAUUUGGAGACAAUGACGCCCUUCGGGGCCUCUGUGAAGGCGCUGCAUGGUUGUCGUCAGCUCGUGCCGUGAGGUGUCGGCUUAAGUGCCAUAACGAGCGCAACCCCUCUCCUUAGUUGCCAUCAGGUUAAGCUGGGCACUCUGGGGACACUGCCACCGUAAGGUGUGAGGAAGGUGGGGAUGACGUCAAAUCAGCACGGCCCUUACGUCCGGGGCUACACACGUGUUACAAUGGCAGGUACAGAGAGACGGUCCCUUGCAAAACGGAUCAAAUCCUUAAAGCCUGUCACAGUUCGGACUGGGGUCUGCAACCCGACCCCACGAAGCUGGAUUCGCUAGUAAUCGCGCAUCAGCCAUGGCGCGGUGAAUACGUUCCCGGGCCUUGUACACACCGCCCGUCAAGCCAUGAAAGCCGGGGGCGCCUAAAGUCCGUGACCGUAAGGAGCGGCCUAGGGCGAAACUGGUAAUUGGGGCUAAGUCGUAACAAGGUA
rnacentral:rRNA from 1 species